rnacentral:rRNA from 1 species
GACGAACGCUGGCGGCGUGCUUAACACAUGCAAGUCGAACGAAGUGGGAACGGGUGAGUAAUACGUGGGGAACCUCCCUCCUUUUGGGGAUAAGCCUUGGAAACGGGGUCUAAACCGAAUAGAUGGCCUCGCGGCCUAUCAGCUUGUUGGUGGGGUGUUGGCCUACCAAGGCGGUGACGGGUAGCCGGUCUGAGAGGAUGAACGGCCCAAUUGGGACUGUGACACGGCCCAGACGCCUACGGGAGGCAGCAGUGGGGAUUCUUCCGCAAUGGACGAAAGUCUGACGGAGCAACGCCGCGGGAGUGAUGACGGCCUUCGGGUUGUAAAGCUCUGUUAAUCGGGACGCGGUACCGGAAUAGAAAGCCACGGCUAACUACGUGCCAGCAGCCGCGGUAAUAC